CCUACGGGUGGCAGCAGUGGGGAAUAUUGGACAAUGGGGGCAACCCUGAUCCAGCCAUGCCGCGUGUGUGAAGAAGGCCCUCGGGUUGUAAAGCACUUUCAGUGAGGAAGAACGCCUGGUGGUUAAUACCCAUCAGGAAAGACAUCACUCACAGAAGAAGCACCGGCUAACUCCGUGCCAGCAGCCGCGGUAAUACGGAGGGUGCGAGCGUUAAUCGGAAUUACUGGGCGUAAAGCGCGCGUAGGUGGCUUGAUAAGCCGGUUGUGAAAGCCCCGGGCUCAACCUAGGAACGGCAUCCGGAACUGUCAAGCUAGAGUGCAGGAGAGGAAGGUAGAAUUCCCGGUGUAGCGGUGAAAUGCGUAGAGAUCGGGAGGAAUACCAGUGGCGAAGGCGGCCUUCUGGACUGACACUGACACUGAGGUGCGAAAGCGUGGGUAGCAAACAGGAUUAGAUACCCUGGUAGUC
rnacentral:rRNA from 1 species